ACACCUAAAAGACUUCAGCUAAUCCUGACCGUUUUGAGCCAAUCAAUAGCCCAACCAACCACCAACACA
rnacentral:tRNA from 1 species